GGCGACCACGACCAACACGCAGUGAGCGACGCACGGGAGACCAACGACCACGAGAUACAUAGAUGGCAAUCACAUAUUCACAUUGUGGGCGACUCAGUCAGCAACCAGAGCUCAGAGAGUGAUCUCCUCGACAUCCAUACUGCUUGACUGCUUCCAAAGUACUGAGGCUGAGGCCUCUGUCUGCGCUGGUCUCCUCGUUUGGUCGCUCAGCGACUGGGUCGCCGGCGACCGGUCGACAGUGUGAACGGCCCUCUGUGUGUUAUAUAACCAUCUUGCCUGAAAUAAGCAUUGUAAUCAGGGUUGAAGUAGAAAGAAAUAGCAGGCAUUACUUCUGUAACAGUCCUCAUAUAAUUCUUACUGCUAGCCAAUCUUAAUUUUAUGGCACAGCCAUCCAAGAAUCGGCUAAAUUGACAACACGCUUAAUGUUCUUCAAAAUAAUAUAUUUAAUAGGAAAUGCA